rnacentral:rRNA from 1 species
CCUACGGGUGGCAGCAGUGGGGAAUAUUGCACAAUGGACGCAACCCUGAUGCAGCGACGCCGCGUGAGUGAAGACGGAUCUCGGUAUGUAAAGCUCUAUCUGCAGGGAGGAAAAUGCAGGUACGUGAAUAAGAAUCCCCGUCUAACUACGUGCCAGCACCGCCGGCAAUACGGAGGAGGCAAGCGUUAUCCGGAUUUAUUGGGUGUAAAGGGAGCGUAGACGGUCGGACAAGUCAGAGGUGAAAUGCCGAGGCUUAACUCCGGAACUGCUUUUGAAACUGUGCAGCUAGAGUGCAGGAGAGGUAGGCGGAAUGCCUGGUGUAGCGGUGAAAUGCGUAGAGAUUAGAAAGAACACCAGUGGCGAAGGCAGCUUAC